rnacentral:tRNA from 1 species
GCUCCUGUAACUCAGUCGGUCAGAGUGUGGUACUUAUAAUGCCAAAGUCGCGAGUUCGAAUCUCGCCUGGAGCA